rnacentral:rRNA from 1 species
GAUGAACGCUGGCGGCGUGCCUAAUACAUGCAAGUCGAACGAACAGACGAGUAGCUUUCUGGUCUGAGUUUAUCAGCGGCGAAGUGGGUAAUAACUCGAUAACAUACUUCUAAGUCUGUGAUAACUUCGGCAAACCGGAGCUAAUACCACAUAAUAUUUUGAACCGCAUGCUUCAAAAGUGAGAGACGGUUUUGCUUUCAGUUAUAGAUGGGUCCGCGCCGCAUUAGCUAGUUGGUAAGGUAACGGCUUACCAAGGCAGCGAUGCGUAGCCGACCUGAGAGGAGGGUGGGCGACACUGGAAGGGAGACACGGCCGACACUACUACGGCAGGCAGCAGUAGGGAAUCUUCCGCAAAGGGCGAAGGCAUGAUGGAGCAACGCCGCGUGAUUGAGGAAGGACUUCGGAGCGUAGAACUCUUUUAUCAGGAAAGAACAAAUGUUGAAUUAACUGUGCACGUCUUGACGGUACCUAAUCAGAAAGCGCCGGCUAACUACGUG